GACGAACGCUGGCGGCGUGCUUAACACAUGCAAGUCGAACGGUGAACUCCGCUUGCGGGGGGAUCAGUGGCGAACGGGUGAGUAACACGUGGGCAACCUGCCCUCAGCUCUGGGAUAACUCCAAGAAAUUGGGGCUAAUACCGGAUAUGACCGCUGACCGCAUGGUCUGGUGGUGGAAAGAUUUAUCGGCUGGGGAUGGGCCCGCGGCCUAUCAGCUUGUUGGCGGGGUAGUGGCCUACCAAGGCGACGACGGGUAGCCGGCCUGAGAGGGUGACCGGCCACACUGGGACUGAGACACGGCCCAGACUCCUACGGGAGGCAGCAGUGGGGAAUAUUGCGCAAUGGGCGAAAGCCUGACGCAGCGACGCCGCGUGGGGGAUGACGGCCUUCGGGUUGUAAACCUCUUUCAGCAGGGACGAAGCGAAAGUGACGGUACCUGCAGAAGAAGCACCGGCCAACUACGUG
rnacentral:rRNA from 1 species